CUUCUUUAGCAUUGUCGAUCUAAGUCCAUCGUGCCUUAUCCGCCGAGCUUCUUUCGCCGACGGUUGUCGUGGACUAUGAUUUUCUGCACAAUGCUUUAUUCUCUUGAUGUGACAUCUUCUUUUGACAACCCAUCUUCUCUUGAUACUUAUCUUGUAUCUUCAAGUGAUGCGGUGUCUACCUCUGAUGUGCCAUCUCUUCGUUAUCUCCUUCGGCGACUUGACAAGUUUUGAAGACUCUUCAUGCUACGACGACACUCUCAAGACGCGGAUUUGGAUUAUCAUUUUUUUUCUUCAGUAUUACACUUCUUCAAAUGCAAUGCUAUUGCAUACGUUUUGCAUUUGAGGGGG
rnacentral:lncRNA from 1 species